GGUUUCUUGUUAGGUGUAAUAGGAAAUUAGACCUGCCCGCUGAAUAAAUACAGUUUGAAGGGCCGCAGUAUUUUGACUGUGCGAAGGUAGCAUAAUCAUUAGUUUUUUAAUUGGAGACUAGAAUGAAUGGUUGCACGAGGUAAAUUCUGUACCAAUUUAAUUUAGAUUGAAGUUAGAUUUUAAGUGAAAAUACUUAAAUAUAAUUAAGGGACGAGAAGACCCUAUAGAGUUUAAUAUUUUAAAUAUCAAUUUAGUUUGUUUAAAGUUUAAAAUUGUUUAUGAAGUAUAUUUUAUUGGGGAGAUGAAAAGAUAAAGAGAACUCUUUUUUAAGAUUUAUAAUUUUAAUAGACUAAAAGAUCCAUAAAUAAUGAUUAAAAGAUUAAAUUACCUUAGGGAUAACAGCAUAAUUUUUUUUGAAAGUUCUUAUUAAAAGAGGAGUUUAUGACCUCGAUGUUGGAUUAAGGUAAAUUUUAGGUGUAGAUGUUUAAUUUUUAGGUCUGUUCGACCUUUAAUUUCUUACA
rnacentral:rRNA from 1 species